CACGAAGUGACAUGAGCUAAGGGUGGUAUAUAGUAGUUAAAAAGUGUUGCAUAAUGUGAAGAGCUGCCCUUUAGGGGUGAUAGGCCAUACAAAUGUCUUGAUAUCUUGUUAUCCUUGAAACUUAUUUAGUAUAAGACAAAUCUGAAGUGCUGAGAUUUUAGACUAAAAUUAACUGACAGGACGAGUGCUUAUAAAGUAUAAAAGCGUAUAAGAAGUGAAUCUAAUAUUGAUUUGAUUAAGUUAUUUAGACUAGAGGAAAAUACUAUAAUAGUAAUCUGUAUUUAUAAUGUUAAUAUUAGUAAUAGUUAAGGUAUAUCAAAUGAACUCGGCUAAAGUUUCUCGACUGUUUAUCAAAAACAUAGCUUAAUGUACUUAUAUUAGGUGUUUCCUGCUCAAUGACAAUUUAAAUAGCCGCAGUACUUUGACUGUGCAAAGGUAGCAUAAUCAAUUGGCUUAUAAUUGAAGUCUGGAAUGAAAGGAUACACGGGGAAUUACUAUAUCUGAUAUAUAACGUAAAAUUGGUUUUCAAGUGCAAAUACUUGUAGGUAAUUGUUAGACGAGAAGACCCUAGAAAUUUGCAAAGCUGUUUAGUUGGGGCAACGUAGUAGGAGAUAACCUACAGUAAGGACAAGAAAUAGAUUAGGUAGAAAAAAUUACUCUAGGGAUAACAGCAUAAUUUAUAAAAGUUUGUGACCUCGAUGUUGGAUUUGGGAAUUAUAGUUCAGAA
rnacentral:rRNA from 1 species